rnacentral:misc_RNA from 1 species
AGAAAAACAAAAAAAAAAAAACAUUUACCAAAUUCUUUCUAAAGCAAAAGGAGACAUGUAAGCAAAGCCUAUGCUGCUAGCUAAAUGCCUAAACAUGGAGGUAAAUCAUCAAUUGAUGUUGGACAACGUAGCCUUCACUAGAGGAUUACUAUUGAAGAAGGAGAUGCAUUUGGAAGUUAAACAGAUAUUUUCUCAAAAUUUCACGGAUUCUUCCACUGAUUUGAGGUCUCAAAGUGUUAUAUCCAAGUUUAUGUAUCCCUAUAUGACACAGGGGUUUUAGGGUCAAGAAAAUGCUCUAAGCAACUA